UGAUGAUGAUGUUUAUUGCAUGAAUUACUACAACCAAGAAACUGGAUUUCGGGUUGAUGCUACGUCUGAGUUGGAGAAAUACUUGAAUGAAGCCCGUGAGCCUUUUACUAAAGGGGUUGAGUUUGAUAUUCUAAGUUGGUGGAAGGUCAACUCAAGUAGACUUCCGAUCCUGUCAAGAAUAGCUCGAGAUAUAUUACCUAUUCCGGUCUCUACGGUAGCAUCAGAAUCUGCAUUCAGCACUGGAGGAAGGGUGUUGAAUGAUUUUCGGAGCUCCCUAACUCCGAAAAUGGCAGAGAUGUUGAUUUGUACCCAAGACUGGAUGAAAGGAACACCUUUUUCCCUGGUUUCUAGUGAGGACUUUGAGGAGCUUGAGAGAUUUGAGAAAGAGCUUGUUCAACGAGAAUUGACUGCUGGUUCAGAAAAUUACAACCUUUAUGAUGAUGAUGAUGAGCUUUAAGUGCAGGAGUCUUCUGCUUUUAGACAAAUUCAAGUGGUGGUCAUGUCAUCAGAGAAUAUCUUGACUCUUAAUUGAUAGGUGCUUUGUGUUUUGAUGAUUAGAGUGAAAGGAAUUGGGAGGUUUGGAGAAGAUGCUGAGUGGAGGAAGAUGGGAAGAGAGUUGCUACUGUUUCUUCCAUUUGUUACUAAUUGAUAUUUUCUGGGAUUUGACAUUGUCCACUGUUUCAUACUAUCACUUAAAUUGACAUUGUCCACUGUUUCAUACUGAACUUCUGGGCCUUUUGUUUUAUAUCUUUUAAUGGUAGUUGACAAUUAAUCCUCUUUGGUGGAAAAGUUACUUUUAUCAAAAGUAAAAAAUGACUUGUUCUUCUUAUGUAGUAUCAUUUGACUUGUUUUUAAUUGAGUUAUUUUAAUGGUUCUGAAAAAAUAACUGGUUCGG